CCAGCAUGUACUGAUCGCCAAAGAGCAUGCUGGGAGACGUAGUUAUACAACAGCUGGAGGUACGCAACUACAACUUAGUUUUGCAAGAUUUAGAGGGCCACGGUUUAUAAACCACCACACAUUGAUCUCCAAACUGAAGUCCUCCAGAUGUUGCUAGGCAACUCACCGACUUCAGUAGGAUUGCUGCACGCAGCACCCGGGAGCCGCCUGUCAUCGCCGCACCAGGUGGAGAGAGGAUGGCCAGCUGCCACCGAUUGCCGAAAUAUAACCAAAAAAAGAUGGAAGCUGCAAUCAGUAAAUUGUCACUGAGCCAAAAGUGGAUUUAAAUGAAGUAUGGAAUUAGAAGUAUAAGAGGAAGGACUGCUGCAAUACAAUUUAACAAAAAUAAACUGCACUGUCUAAAUGGAGCCUCUCUCCCCCAAGAGUGCUCCUUCGUUGGUUCUACAUUUUGAGACUAUGGAUCAGGCCUUUAAAACAACUCUUCUGACAUGCAAUGCAAAGGCACGACAGGAAAUCGCUGCCAAACGAAGCACAUAUGCGAAGGGGGCCGACCUGUACUAACCGGAGAAGCAUCUAAAUAUAGUUCUAGUCCUGCGGGAGGAAUAAAACGUGAAUGUGACAGCAUGCGUGAGGAGAUAUCAACUCUGACGUCACCAGAAUUCUGAGAAGACAACUUAACUUCCUCAAACAAUGACUUAGGGGUUUACCUAGCAGGUCUGGAUCUCAAAAGA